GACGAACGCUGGCGGCGUGCUUAACACAUGCAAGUCGAACGGUGAAGGCGGAGCUUGCUCUGCCGGAUCAGUGGCGAACGGGUGAGUAACACGUGGGCGACCUGCCCCUCACUUCGGGAUAACUCCGGGAAACCGGGGCUAAUACCGGAUACGACCUCCUUGGGCAUCUUUGGAGGUGGAAAGUUUUUCGGUGAGGGAUGGGCCCGCGGCCUAUCAGCUUGUUGGUGAGGUAGUGGCGCACCAAGGCGACGACGGGUAGCCGGCCUGAGAGGGCGACCGGCCACACUGGGACUGAGACACGGCCCAGACUCCUACGGGAGGCAGCAGUGGGGAAUAUUGCGCAAUGGGCGAAAGCCUGACGCAGCAACGCCGCGUGCGGGAUGAAGGCCUUCGGGUUGUAAACCGCUUUCAGCAGGGAAGAAGCCGCAAGGUGACGGUACCUGCAGAAGAAGCACCGGCUAACUACGUGCCAGCCGCCGCGGUAA
rnacentral:rRNA from 1 species